GACGAACGCUGGCGGCGUGCUUAACACAUGCAAGUCGAACGGAAAGGCCCUGCUUUUGUGGGGUGCUCGAGUGGCGAACGGGUGAGUAACACGUGAGUAACCUGCCCUUGACUUUGGGAUAACUUCAGGAAACUGGGGCUAAUACCGGAUAGGAGCUCCUGCUGCAUUUUGUGGGUUGUAAAGUUUCGGCGGUUGGGGAUGGACUCGCGGCUUAUCAGCUUGUUGGUGGGGUAGUGGAUUACCAAGGCUUUGACGGGUAGCCGGCCUGAGAGGGUGAACGGCCACAUUGAGACUGAGAUACGGCCCAGACUCCUACGUGCGGCAGCAGUGGGGAAUAUUGCACAAUGGGCGGAAGCAUGAUGCAGCAACGCCGCGUGCGGGAUGACGGCCUUCGGGUUGUAAACCGCUUUCGCCUGUGACGAAGCGUGAGUGACGGUAAUGGGUAAAGAAGCACCGGCUAACUACGUG
rnacentral:rRNA from 1 species